rnacentral:sRNA from 1 species
CCUGAAGUUGAAGGGCGUGGACUUGC